rnacentral:misc_RNA from 1 species
GAUGAAGAACGUAGUGAAAUGCGAUAAGUAAUGUGAAUUGCAGAAUUCAGUGAAUCAUCGAAUCUUUGAACGCACAUUGCGCCCGCUAGUAUUCUGGCGGGCAUGCCUGUUCGAGCGUCAUUUCAACCAUCAAGCCCCUUAGCUUGUGUUGGGGACCUGCGGCUGCCGCAGCCCCCGAAAUGUAGUGGCGGGCUCGUUGUCACACCGAGUGCAGUAAUCAUUCUUCUCUCCGGGCGUGGCGGCGGGUUCCGGCCGUAAAAUCCAAUUUAUCAAGGUUGACCUCGGAUCAGGUAGGAAUACCCGCUGAACUUAAGCAUAUCAAUAAGCGGAGGA